AGGGGCCACAAGGGAGGACAACAGUGUGAGUUGGGCACGGCCACAGAGCAAGUGAGCAGAGCAGCUGGGCGCAUCUGAGAUGACGAAGAGGCAGCUGGUGACUGGAGGAGUGACGUGUGCUUGUCCUUCAGAAGGAAGGGAAGAGGGAGACUCUCGGCCCCUUGAAAGCUAAAUGCCGAGGGAGGAGUCGUGCAGGGCGAUGGAGGAGGGCCGAGGAUAGCGCUGUAAGCAGGUGGUGGUCGAGCUUGAACAUGGCAGUUGGAACUGAUGGCGUCCAGGUGCCGCAAUCAGCCUUCAGAGGGGAGACGACGCAUGGCGACGAGGUGUCUGAGAAGGU